GUAAACUCCUGACCAUACAAAUACGGGGUAAGUUUCUUUAAUGCCCAGACCAGGGCUAAACACUCCUUUUCCACUGCCGCGUAAAUCACUUCUCUGGGUAACAAUUUUCUACUUAAGUACGCGACAGGGUGUUCUCCUCCAUCUUCCCCGAUCUGGCUCAGAACUGCCCCCAGUCCGUACAUGAAUGCAUCUGUAUGGACGAAAAAUAUUUUGUUAGGGACUGGGGCAGAUAGUAC